rnacentral:lncRNA from 1 species
AUGCAAAUUCUGGAGUAAUACACCUGGCCUGCCUAGAGAUGUUACAAGUGGCCUAAUGGAUUUUUCUAGCCUGGACGCCCACUGGGGACAAGGAUCAUUACUGACAGGAUUGUAUCUCUACCCUUGACUCCAUGGGAAUAUUUGGUCUGCUCUCUCGGGCUCCCUCUAAAAUCAUAUCCUUUAAGCAUUCCAGAA